CCUACGGGAGGCAGCAGUGAGGAAUAUUGGUCAAUGGGCGUACGCCUGAACCAGCCAAGUCGCGUGAGGGAAGAAGGCCCUAUGGGUUGUAAACCUCAUGUGUCAGGGAGAAAGUGGCGCUACGUGUAGCGUUAUCGAGAGGACCUGAAGAAAAAGCAGCAGCGAACGCCGUGCCAGCAGCCGCGGGAAUACGGAGGAUGCGAGCGUGAGCCGGAUUUAUUGGGUUUACGGGGUGCGUGGGCGGACUGACAAGUCAGCGGUAAAAUCGCGGGGCUCAACCUCGCUCCGCCGUUGAGGCUGGCGUUCUUGAGUGGGCGAGAGGUAUGCGGAAUGCGUGGUGUAGCGGUGAAAUGCAUAGAUAUCACGCAGAACUCCGAUUGCGAAGGCAGCAUACCGGCGCCCAACUGACGCUGAGGCACGAAAGCGUGGGUAUCGAACAGGAUUAGAUACCCCAGUAGUC
rnacentral:rRNA from 1 species